AUUUUUAUUAUAACGCUAUUCACCCCCCCCCUCUAGCGUUAAGCGUAUUAACUAACACCUUUGUGAGAAGGACUUGCAUUUCUUUGGAUCAUAACUGGCGUCAACUUUCUUUAGCAUAUCUGCCAAAGUCUCUAACACAGAUGAACCAGGUUCAUCUGGUUGUUCAGUCAAAUUCACCAGUCCCUCAGCAGCUACACCUGAUCCACUUUCCCUUGACUUCAAGCCUCCCUCUUCUGCACUACCAUAUAUAGCUAAAACCUUCCCCUUCUUUUUCUUUCUCCUUUUACUAGAUUCAGCCCCUUCAACAUUUUUGACAGACCCUGCCAAAACAAACCUAUUAUCCUCCAUUUCUUCUACAUCAGAAAAUAGUAAACAAGUGUUUACCUCUCUUGGGGUUUCUUGAAUGUUGUCAUUGUUAGAAGACCCAGGUUCUUCUCCUUCACUGGCAGAGAUGAAUUUCUCUGAUUCAGAGAUUGAGUCGCUUUCUUUUGUUGUAACUUGUUUCCUUUGACUAGCCUGUAAUUUUUCCUUCAAGAUUUUUCUCAAAGGACUAGAUGGAACUAUUUUUCUAGCUAACAAUUUCGGCGAUGAAAUCUGGGUUUUGGGGGUUCACUAGGAGGAGU
rnacentral:lncRNA from 1 species